UGGGGAAUAUUGGACAAUGGGGGGAACCCUGAUCCAGCCAUGCCGCGUGCGUGAAGAAGACCUUAUGGUUGUAAAGCACUUUAAGCGAGGAGGAGGGUACUGGUAUUAAUACUACCAGGUACUGGACGUUACUCGCAGAAUAAGCACCGGCUAACUCUGUGCCAGCAGCCGCGGUAAUACAGAGGGUGCGAGCGUUAAUCGGAUUUACUGGGCGUAAAGCGUGCGUAGGCGGCUAAUUGAGUCGGAUGUGAAAUCCCCGAGCUUAAGUUGGGAAUUGCAUUCGAUACUGGUUAGCUAGAGUGUGGGAGAGGAUGGUAGAAUUCCAGGUGUAGCGGUGAAAUGCGUAGAGAUCUGGCGGAAUACCGAUGGCGAAGGCAGCCAUCUGGCCUAACACUGUCGCUGUGGUACGAAAGCAUAGGGAGCAAACAGG
rnacentral:rRNA from 1 species